GCGUGGACUUGGUGUCGGAUGGAGAAGAUGGGAGUAAAAAUAAAAAUAAAAAAAAGAAAAGAAAAGAAAUACUCCCCGCUGCAGAAUCAGAAGAAACUGCGAUCAGCGCCCCCGCGACAGGAGAGUGAGUCCUGCUGCUUCACCAGCAGGGUGAAGGGAAAUCUUGUUUUCCCACCCGGCUCCGUGAAGAUGAUUUCAGUCAGAUGCUGUUACGAGCAAUUUUCAUCUGAAGAUGAAAGACUUCGUGUUCCUCUGAUUAAUGAGGUGGUAGUAAAGCUCUAAAGCAGAGCCUCUCAGCUUAUGCUCGAGCUUAAGUAUGCUUCGUGAUGCUUUUGUGUGUGUGUGUGUGUGCGUGUGUGUGUGUGUGUGUGUGUGUGUGUGUGUGUAUGUGUGUGUGUGUGUGCGUGCAUGCGAGGAACAUAACCAGAACUGUCAUUGCCCUGAGGACAGCGGACUCAUUCUGCCACUGUCUUGUGUCGUUAUGUCCUCUCGUUACGCAACCUGACCUCUGUGGUUCUGAGCAUCGUCCCCCUGUCCCAUGCCUGUCUGACUGGCUCUCCUCCCUCCUCUUCCUCCACACCCUGCCUCCCGUGUCAGCUCGGCUCACGGUCACAGCUGCCGUCCUUCCUCGCCUUGCUUGCCUCGGUGAACAUUCAACGCUGUCGGUGAGUUUGGUAUGGACACAAAAAACCAUCGACCGUUGACUGUGCCCCGUGGUUCGCUCCGACGACGUCAGGAACGAGCGAAGGAAGAAAAAAAAAAAAACGAACAAAGGGGCAAAGUGGCUGCAUGCAAAUCCGGUGACGAGAACAGACGCACACAGCCGCGCCGCACACAAAAGUGACACUCUGUUUCCACUGUACCCGAAGACCUAAGGUCACAAUCAACAUUCAUUGCUGUCGCUGGGUUGGACUGUGUAGAAAAGCUCACUGAACAAUGAGUGCAACUGUGGCCCAGAUCUGCCUGACUCGCGUCUCAGCCAAUCAGCCGGCCGGAUGUGAGGCACUCUGAUUAUUUUAUUUAUAUACUUCUUGUUUUUCACUUCUAUUUUCUCCCUCCUUCCUCCCUCCCCGGCGCUGGGAGUCUUAAGGGGAAAGAGAAAGAGAGAUAGAGAGACACAAAUAGACUCCUGGCUGCUUGCUUGUCCUCAUCCUCCUCUCCUCUCCUCUAAUUGAUGGUUAUGUGUGCAGCAAGGGGGAAGGAAGCGGAGUGAAUGUGUAAUCAUUUGGAGUCUCUUCUCCUUUAGAUGUUUCAUCCCUCUCUUUUUUGUUUGUCUAAUUAUACACUGAGCUGAGUUAACUCUGCGUUAACUGUGCGCCUGUGCUGGCAAGAGAGACGGGCCGAUGGAGAGGGAGGACAGGGAGAACAAAAACUGCAGAAAGCUUACAGCAGUAGAUAAACGAUUAUCUAGUUUUCACUAGAUUUUGCUCGAUGUUCCCCCUCAUGCAAACGUGCUGGGAGAAGGAAGGAAAUUCCGGCUGUAUAAAGUCGAUUGUUUCCACCUUUCUCACCGAGGAUGUCUCAUUAUCUGUGUUUGAGUUUCAUGAGAGGUUUCCUGCCUGCCCCUGUUUGUGUGUGUGUGCGCGCGCUGGCUAAGAUAGAGGACCUGUCUGGUGAUCUCACGGUGCAAUAUGUCAUUUUCCUUCUAUGCUAAAGCCUGCUGUCUCAUGGGGAGGAAAAAAAAGCAGUCUAUAACCUUGUCUUCCUUCACAGUCUGGGACCGGCCACACCGCUGCCAUUUCUCAUUGUAGCCGCCUGCAACGACUUCUGUAAUUCAAGUAAGGUGAACGCAAAGCUCACACAUGUGAUGUAUGGGUGUAGGAAUAUGUUUGUGUUACUGAUUUGUCAAUUAAACUAAUAAAGUUGAAUCAGUUCA